rnacentral:rRNA from 1 species
UGCCCGAAUCCUGACACAGGGAGGUAGUGACAAGAAAUAAUAAUACAGGGCUACUUCUAGUCUUGUAAUUGGAAUGAGUAAACUUACAUCUCUUCACGAGGAUCAACUGGAGGGCAAGUCUGGUGCCAGCAGCCGCGGUAAUUCCAGCUCCAGAAGCGUAUAUUAAAGUUGUUGCAGUUAAAACGCUCGUAGUCGGGUUUCGGGUCGGGCCGAGCGGUCUGCCGAUGGGUAUGCACUGUUUGGCGCGGCCUUCUUUCCGGAGACCGCGGCUACUCUUAACUGAGCGGGCGUGGGAGACGGAUCGUUUACUUUGAAAAAAUCAGAGUGUUUCAAGCAGGCAGCUCGCUCUUGCAUGGUACAGCAUGGGAUGAUUGAAUAGGACUCCGGUGCUAUUUUGUUGGUUUCGAACACCAGGAGUAAUGAUUAACAGGGACAGUCAGGGGCACUCGUAUUCCGUCGAGAGAGGUGAAAUUCUCAGACCAAUGGAAGACGAACCACUGCGAAAGCAUUUGCCAGGGAUGUUUUCACUGAUCAAGAACGAAAGUUAGGGGAUCGAAGACGAUCAGAUACCGUCGUAGUCUUAACCAUAAACUAUGCCGACUAGGGAUUGGAGGGUGUUCGUUUCGACCUCUUCAGCACCUUACGGGAAACUAAAGUCUUUGGGUUCCGGGGGGAGUAUGGUCGCAAGGCUGAAACUUAAAGGAAUUGACGGAAGGGCACCACCAGGAGUGGAGCCUGCGGCUUAAUUUGACUCAACACGGGGAAACUU